rnacentral:lncRNA from 1 species
CAGCCAGCAUCUAUUCUUCCUUUAAUUUUCUGACUAAAAUGUUAUGACGGCGUGCUAAACUUCGAAAUUUGUAAUAUCAUCUGCAAUAAUUAAGAAUAUUUUAAUAUAAAAUAAUAUAAAUAAAUGUUUUAUGUAAUAAAAUAUUCUAAUAAUAUAAAAUAUUUUCAUUAAUUUGUUACUGUCUAUCAUCUCUUAUGACGAUGACUAGCAACUGCUCUCGAUAGUAACAGUUUCUCUAUUUCCAGAGAAAUCGUUUUGUGGCGAAAUUAACCAAACAAAUAGAUACCGUUCCGACUCCAAACAGGACCCACCAGAUUGGGU